rnacentral:rRNA from 1 species
UGGGCGUAAGUCUCUGGGAUUAGACCCGAAACCACAGUGAUCUAUGCAUGGCCAGGUUGAAGCUCAGGUAAAAAUGAGUGGAGGACCGAACCCGUGAGUGUUGAAAAACUUUGGGAUGAGUUGUGCAUAGGGGUGAAAUGCCAAUCGAACGUGGAGAUAGCUGGUUCUCCCCGAAAUAGCUUUAGGGCUAGCCUCAGGUAACACAUGAAGACGGUAGAGCACUGAUCGGGUAAGGGAGCGUAAAGCUUGCCGAGCCUAGUCAAACUGCGAAUGGCUUCAUGAGAAGAGCCUGGGAGUCAGAAUGCGAGUGAUAAGACCCGUAUUCAAAAGGGAAACAGCCCAGACCGCCGACUAAGGUCCCGAAUGCUGUACUAAGUGGAAAAGGAUGUAGGACUUCCAAAACAGCCAGGAUGUUGGCUCAGAAGCAGCCACCAUUCAAAGAGUGCGUAAUAGCUCACUGGUCGAGAGGCCCUGCGCCGAAAAUAUCCGGGGCUCAAGUACAGAACCGAAGUCGCGGGAUGCGCAAGCAUCGGUAGGGGAGCGUUCCAAGGGCGUUGAAGGCCGACCGGAGGGACGGCUGGAGCGUUUGGAAGUGAGAAUGCUGGUAUGAGUAGCGAAACGAUCCGUGGGAAUCGGAUCCACCGAAAGCCUAAGGGAUCCUGAGCAACGCUCGUCGACUCAGGGUAAGUCGGGACCUAAGCCGAGGCAUAAAGCAUAGGCGAUGGACAACAGGCGAAAAUUCCUGUACUGCAUGAUGUUGUUUGAGGAUGGAGUGACACAGCAAGGAGCUUGAGCGCGCGAUUGGAAAUGCGCGUCGAAGGCGGUAGGCUGAGUGAGAGGCAAAUCCCUCACUCAAGGCCGAGAACUGACAGAUAGGAGCGUACUUCGGUACAAUCCGAAUUCAAGCGUACUACACUGUCGAGAAAAGCUUCUAACGAGACAUCAUGUACCCGUACCAAAACCGACACAGGUAGGCGGGGAGAGAAUCCUAAGGUGCGCGGGAAAACCCUCGUUAAGGAACUCGGCAAAAUGCAUCCGUAACUUCGGGAGAAGGAUGGCCGGGGCUGGUGAAGAGAUUGACUCUUGGAGCUGGAGCCGGCGGCAGAAGAGAAGCCCGAGCGACUGUUUACCACAAACACAGGUGCCUGCUAAAGAGAAAUCUGACGUAUAGGUGCUGACACCUGCCCGGUGCCGGAAGGUUAAGGAGAGAUGUCAGGAGCAAUCCGAAGCAUUGAACUGAAGCCCCAGUAAACGGCGGCCGUAACUAUAACGGUCCUAAGGUAGCGAAAUUCCUUGUCGGGUAAGUUCCGACCCGCACGAAAGGUGUAACGACUUGGGCACUGUCUCAACGAGGGACCCGGUGAAAUUGAAAUACCUGUGAAGAUGCAGGUUACCCGCGACUGGACAGAAAGACCCCAUGGAGCUUUACUGCAGCCUGACAUUGAUUUUUGGCAUGUAACGUACAGGAUAGUUGGGAGACGGAGAAGAUAGCCCG